AAACAAAAAAAGACCGAAUACGAUUCCUAUAUUCGGUCCAGGGAAAUGGCUCUUUAAGAGCCGUGCGCUAAAAGUUGGCAUUGAUGCAGGCGAUGUCGCCUUGCCUUUUAAAGCGUAGAACAGUCGUGUGGAUUUUCCAGCCG
rfam:Pantoea sp. PSNIH2, complete genome.